CCCGGUGCCCGCCCACUGGCAUUCACGCACUUCCGUGUAUACUAACGCCCCACGGCAGCACGGACAGCCACGUAUAAUCUUCACGCGGACAGAUACGCCGUUCGCAACCUAUGACGGCACAGUAGCCUGCUUCCCUGUCUUCUCCCUCGCAGGAGCUGCAAGUUACGCUUAAGUGAUGCAGACUUUGAUGGAAUCCAUGAGUGCAGGUUUACAGGUCGACCUGAAGACAUCAGGCCAUAACUCAACAUGGACGAUAUGUGAACACUGAGGACAAUUCUUCUUUAAAAAACAUUUGGUGUGAAUGAUGUUUCAAAUAUCUGUUGUAUGCCCUCGUUUCGUUAAGUUUUAAAAUGAUGAUUGUCCAAAAACUACAGAGAUAAGGAUCUAAAACUGCAAUCCCCUUUAAGUUUCGUUCUACAGCUUGCAGACAUGAAAGAAAUGUUCAUUUUAGAUGUGUGCAUUUUCACUUCAGUCAGAAAUGUAAUCUGGACCCUUUAAUUGGAAAAUUAACGAAAGAGGUCAGAAAGACUUGCUUGGCAUUUGCUGAGCACAUAUUCGUUAUUUGGACUAUGUUUAUCUUUUGUUUUAAUCCAUAAACAUAUAGACCAUAUAGAUAUGUUGUAGACUACAAAAAUGUCAUUGUGCUUCAA